rnacentral:rRNA from 1 species
UACGGAGGGAGCGAGCGUUGUCCGAAGUUACUGGGCGUAAAGCGCGUGUAGGCGGUUGGCCAAGUCGGGUGUGAAAGCCUUGAGCUCAACUCAAGAAAUGCACUCGGUACUGGGUGACUAGAGGACCGGAGAGGAUAGUGGAAUUCCCAGUGUAGUGGUGAAAUACGUAGAGAUCCGGAGGAACCCCAGAGGCGAAGGCGGCGUUCUGGCUCGCAACUGACGCUCAGACACGACAGCAUGGGGAGCGAACGGG